rnacentral:rRNA from 1 species
AUUGAACGCUGGCGGCAGGCCUAACACAUGCAAGUCGAACGAGUGGCGGACGGGUGAGUAAUGUCUGGGAAACUGCCCGAUGGAGGGGGAUACCUACUGUAAACGGUAGCUAAUACCGCAUACCAUCGGAUGUGCCCAUAUGGGAUUAGCUAGUAGGUGGGGUAACGGCUAACCUAGGCGCCGAUCCCUAGCUGGUCUGAAAGGAUGACCAGCCACACUGGAACGGAGACACGGUCCAGACGCCUACGGGAGGCAGCAGUGUGGAAUAUUGCACAAGGGGCGCAAGCCGGAUGCAGCCAUGCCGCGUGUAUGAAGAAGGCCUUCGGGUUGUAAAGUACUUUCAGCGAGGAGGCGUUACUCGCAGAAGAAGCACCGGCUAACUCCGUGCCAGCAGCCGCGGUAAUUC